CCUACGGGAGGCAGCAGUGAGGAAUAUUGGUCAAUGGCCGGAAGGCUGAACCAGCCAUGCCGCGUGAAGGUCAGUGCCCUAUGGGCGUUAAACUUCUUUUGUGCGGGAGCAAUAAUGGUCACGUGUGGCCAGACGAGAGUACCGUACGAAUAAGCAUCGGCUAACUCCGUGCCAGCAGCCGCGGUAAUACGGGGGAUGCAAGCGUUAUCCGGAUUUAUUGGGUUUAAAGGGUGCGUAGGCUGUGAGGUAAGGCAGCGGUGAAAUGCCCCCGCUCAAAGGGGUGAAGUGCCAUUGAUACUGCCUGGCUGGAGUGCGGAUGAGGUGGGAGGAAUGUGUGGUGUAGCGGUGAAAUGCAUAGAUAUCACACAGAACACCGAUUGCGAAGGCAUCUCACGAGUCCGCGAUUGACGCUGAGGCACGAAAGCGUGGGUAUCAAACAGGAUUAGAUACCCUAGUAGUC
rnacentral:rRNA from 1 species